rnacentral:rRNA from 2 species
UUAUUGGGCGUAAGCGCGCGCAGGCGGUUUCUUAAGUCUGAUGUGAAAGCCCACGGCUCAACCGUGGAGGGUCAUUGGAAACUGGGGAACUUGAGUGCAGAAGAGAAAAGCGGAAUUCCACGUGUAGCGGUGAAAUGCGUAGAGAUGUGGAGGAACACCAGUGGCGAAGGCGGCUUUUUGGUCUGUAACUGACGCUGAGGCGCGAAAGCGUGGGGAGCAAACAGGAUUAGAUACCCUGGUAGUCCACGCCGUAAACGAUGAGUGCUAAGUGUUAGAGGGUUUCCGCCCUUUAGUGCUGCAGCUAACGCAUUAAGCACUCCGCCUGGGGAGUACGGUCGCAAGACUGAAACUCAAAGGAAUUGACGGGGGCCCGCACAAGCGGUGGAGCAUGUGGUUUAAU